GGAAAGUUGCAAAGCACUUAGAAGAGAGAGUUAAACAGGACGUGAAACCGAUGAGGUGGAAACGGACAGAGUCGGCGUAUCUAGCCUGUAUUCAACUGGAGACCCAAGCACAUUGGGUAGGCCUUUUCCAGAUUGGACAGGCGAUCCAACUGUUUGGGAGUCUACAGUGCAUUUGCAAGUGGAGUGCGCUGAGGUGGUCGGGUUAGCUGCAUGAUCUCGGGUUUGAGGCCAGCCCCUCGGGGUAUGGUACCCGGCUCGGGGGAGUGCUGUUUAGCCUGUUCAACUUGUAUGGAAAUGGUAUCGGGUCCGGCUGGUAUCCAGCUAACAACUGGUGGCGGUCGCAUGCGACACGUACUAGUGGUUGGUUGGGUCCUGGUCUGGCUCCCAUGUUUUCCAAUCCUCGGUGUAAAAACCGGUCAUCUGUCCGACCCGUCUUGAAACACGGACCAAGGAGUUUAGCGUGUGCGCGAGUCAUUGGGUGUUGGAAACCCAAAGGCGCAAUGAAAGUGAAGGUCUCUCUUGUGGAGCUGAUGUGUGACCCGGGUCACCGAGGUGGCCCGGAGCAACAUGGUCCCGUCCUGAUCGCUUGCGAUGGGGCGGAGACAGAGCGUACGCGCUGAGACCCGAAAGAUGGUGAACUAUUCCUGAGCAGGACGAAGCCAGAGGAAACUCUGGUGGAAGUCCGAAGCGAUUCUGACGUGCAAAUCGAUCGUCUGACUUGGGUAUAGGGGCGAAAGACUAAUCGAACCAUC
rnacentral:rRNA from 1 species